rnacentral:rRNA from 1 species
UACGGGGGGGGCAAGCGUUGUUCGGAAUUACUGGGCGUAAAGGGCUCGUAGGCGGCCAACUAAGUCAGACGUGAAAUCCCUCGGCUUAACCGGGGAACUGCGUCUGAUACUGGAUGGCUUGAGUUUGGGAGAGGGAUGCGGAAUUCCAGGUGUAGCGGUGAAAUGCGUAGAUAUCUGGAGGAACACCGGUGGCGAAGGCGGCAUCCUGGACCAACACUGACGCUGAGGAGCGAAAGCGUGGGUAGCGAACAGG